rnacentral:rRNA from 1 species
CUCGUAGGCGGUUCGUCGCGUCCGGUGUGAAAGUCCAUCGCUUAACGGUGGAUCCGCGCCGGGUACGGGCGGGCUUGAGUGCGGUAGGGGAGACUGGAAUUCCCGGUGUAACGGUGGAAUGUGUAGAUAUCGGGAAGAACACCAAUGGCGAAGGCAGGUCUCCGGGCCGUUACUGACGCUGAGGAGCGAAAGCGUGGGGAGCGAACA